CAGGAUGAACGCUAGCGGCAGGCCUAAUACAUGCAAGACUAGGGGGCAGCAAUCGUCACCGUCGCACGGGUGCGUAACGCGUAUGCAACCUACCUAUCACAGGGGGAUAGCCUUUGGAAACAGGGAUUAAUACCGCAUAAAGCAGGGGCUCCGCAUGGAGAUAUUGCUAAAGAUUUAUCGGUGAUAGAUGGGGCAUGCGUCUGAUUAGUUAGAUGGUGGGGUAACGGCCUACCAUGGCGAUGAUGGGUAGGGGUCCUGAGAGGGAGAUCCCCCACACUGGUACUGAGACACGGACCAGACUCCUACGGGAGGCAGCAGUGAGGAAUAUUGGUCAAUGGUCGCAAGACUGAACCAGCCAUGCCGCGUGCAGGAAGACGGUCCUAUGGAUUGUAAACUGCUUUUAUACAGGAAGAAACCCUCCCACGUGUGGGAGCUUGACGGUACUGUAGGAAUAAGGAUCGGCUAACUCCGUG
rnacentral:rRNA from 1 species